GUAGUUAAACCGAGCGUUAAAAUAACGUAAAGUGUCUAAAGUUAGACCCGAAGCCCGGUGAUUUUACCAUAAUCAGGAUUAUAAAAGUCCGAACGGAAUAUUGUAGCAUAAAUAUCCGAAGAAUUAUGGUAGGUGUAGUGAAAGACAAUACUGACCGGGAUAGCUGGUUUUCUGCGAAACCUAUAAUAGUAGGCAAUUUAAGUUAAUAUCUUAGCAGGUACAGAAUUUAAUCUCAGACAAGACAUUAAAUGUUUUAUUUUGUACAAAUUGGGGGAUCAUGAAGAUUUUAUCAGUGAGUAUGCAGACUCGGAAUGGCAAAGAUAUAUCUUAAAUCAUCAGACAUAGAAUGAUAAGGUUGUAUGUCAAAAGGGAAACAGCCCAGAACAAGAGUUAAGGUUCCUAAAUUAUUCGUUGAGUGAAAUUAAGAAGGUUUUUAUUAAAGUCGACAAGGAGAUAGGCUUAGAAGCAGCCACAAUUUUAUGACCUCGUAACAGAGCGCUUGUUAAGUUUUAAAAGCAUCGAAAAUUUACCGGAUCUAAACAAUAUACCGAAACCUUGUCCAUAUUAGUUUAUAAUAAAAAUUUUAUUAUAAUUAAGUGGGGUAGCAGAACGUUGAGCUGAAUUAUGAUUUUUAUUUUUUAAAUAAAAUUAUGUGUGUACGCAAGCUAUGCUUGUACGUAUGCUUCAAUUUAACUCAAGCGAGAAUGGUGACAUGAGUAACUAAAAGAAAAUUUUCCGCCUAAAGCUUAUGGAUAUAAUUAAGUAACGGCCUCUAAGUUUAUAUUAUCUAAAGAUUUAAACGAUGAGACAAUCUUUAUUACUAAGGACGACAUUUUAUGCUUAUUUAUAAGCAGUAGUGAAAAAUGUACUGGAAAAAUAGUAAUAUAUUUAUAUAUAGCUUUUAGCAAUAUAUAAAUGAAAAGUAACCGUACCUAGAAUCUGAAACAAGUAAGCUAGUAGAGAAUACGAAGGCGUAAAUGAGCUAACAAUCAUAAAGGAACUCGGCAAAUUGACUACCGUAACUUCGGGAUAAGGAGAGCUCAUUAUUCUUGAUUAAUAUCAAGUAAAGAGGAAGAAGCAUGAAAUAGUGUUGUACGACUGUUUAAUUAAAACACAGCACUUUGCUGAAAGAUUAAAAAUCUAAGUAUAGAGUGUGAUGUCUGCCCGGUGCCGGCUGGUUAACAGAUAUAAUUGGAUAUACUAAUAUCUGAUGUAGACGGAAACCCCGGUUAAAGGCGGCCUUAACGUGAGGGUCCUAAGGUAGCGAAAUGCCUUGGCCGUUAAAUGCGGUCUUGCAUGAAUGAUGUAACGAUACAACAGCUGUCUCUAUGAUUGACUCAGUGAAAUUGGAAUAGCUGUGCAGAUACAGUUUACCUCUAGUUAGACGAGAAGACCCUAUGCAGCUUUACUGUCACUAAUUAUAGAGUAUGAUAAACAAUUUUCAGAUUAUAAGGUAAUUGACUAGAUGACAAUGAGAAUCCUUUAUUUUUUUUUCAUAUGAAUGAAUUGGUUUAGGAUUAUGAGAUGUGUAAUUUUGUUUAACAAGACUACAUAACUUAUAUUAGUAAAUCAACCUAGUUCAGCUUAUUUAUUUAAAAUAAGUAACCUUUGGUAAGGAACUAUCGCUAGGGGACAGUUUAUGUGGGGCACAGACCCUGUAAAGAGUAAACAGGAGUGUCUAAAAAUUUACAAAUAUUUUGUUUGCGAUUUAAGGUAGUUUAACUAUUUUUAAUCAUAUAAAAUUAUUUAUAUGUGCAUUUUUAUGUAUAUAUAUUUAAAAUUAGGUAGGAUUUUCACUAUAUAGAAAUUAGAGAUAAUUAGAAACAUUAUGUAUUAACUAAUGUUUUUUAACUAUUCUAUAGAAUAGUUAUGUUUAAAAUAUCUAAAAAGCUCAACGGCUUAAUCUUGCCUUACUGUUUGAUUAUCUACAAAUCUUACAGUUGCGUAAGCAGGGCAUAGGAUCACAAGAUGCAACAAGGAAAGAUCUUGGAUUAUUGGAAAAGCUACGCUAGGGAUGUUUGUCCUUUAAUAUUUUAUUUAGUGUUAUAAACACAAUAUAAAUAAAAUAAUUAAUAAAUAAAUUGGGUAAAUUUCAAAAAUUACUAAUUUAGUAAAUUUGAAGCGAAGUUUAUCUUAGCAUAAAUUAUAAGAUAAAAACGUUCAACGACUAUAAGGUGAGUUAUAUGCAAUAAACAAUAAUCCUUUUUAACA
rnacentral:rRNA from 1 species